rnacentral:rRNA from 1 species
AUUGAACGCUGGCGGCAGGCCUAACACAUGCAAGUCGAACGAGUGGCGGACGGGUGAGUAAUGUCUGGGAAACUGCCCGCUGGAGGUGGAUAACUACUGGAAACGGUAGCUAAUACCGCAUACCAUCAGAUGUGCCCAGAGGGGAUUAGCUAGUUUGUGUGGUAAUGGCUCACCUAGGCGACGCUCCCUAGCUGGUCUGAGAGGAUGACCAGCCACACGGGAAAUGAGACACGUUCCAGACUCCUACGGGAGCCAGCAGUGGGGAAUAUUGCACAAUGGGCGCAAGCCUGAUGCAGCAAUGCCGCGUGUAUGAAGAAGGCUUUCGGGUUGUAAAGUACUUUCAGCGAGGAGGCGUUACUCGCAGAAGAAGCACCGGCUAACUCCGUGCCAGCAGCCGCGGUAAUAC